UACGUAGGUGGCAAGCGUUAUCCGGAAUUACUGGGCGUAAAGCGCACGCAGGCGGUCUUUUAAGUUUGACGUGAAAGCUCCCGGCUUAACUGGGAGAGGUCGUUGAAUACUGGAAGACUUGAGGCAAUGAGAGGGGUGUAGAAUUCCCGGUGUAGUGGUGGAAUGCGUAGAUAUCGAGAGGAACACCUGCGGCGAAGGCGGGUUGCUGGGCUGACACUGACGCUGAGGCGCGAAAGCUAGGGGAGCGAACGGG
rnacentral:rRNA from 1 species